AAGGUCACUGUUUCCUGUUCCAAAUAUUCCUUUUAGUUUCUGUUUUGUGAGAACUCUGUAUAAAGCUUUUUCUCUUGACCGUUUGUCCUCCCAGGCCUGAGACUGCUUCUGAAGUCAAGAGAACUGAAUACACCCAGGAUUCCUUCCUGGAAACUGGGUACUUGUCUUUGAAGAGUAGAGUGUCUUUGGAGAAGCUUGUGGCACCAGGAUUUGAGGAAGAAGUAGAGACCUAGGAGAAGAGAAAACUCACUCAAAGUCUGGGAGUGAAAGAAAUGAAGAGAAGAUUGAAGCCCUAGCAUUUGGCUUCCAAGUCCAGGCUCUUAAACACCCUGCUGUGCUACCUCCUUAGCAGCCGGAGGCAACUGCUGCAGAAUAAUCUUUGAUGAAUCAAGCUUUCCCUUUGUAUGCAUGAGUCCCCAAGAAAAUCCUCAAGUCUGGGUGCCCAGCAGGAAGAAGGCUCAGCAUUUCCAAAAGAACAGGCCUGAGGACAGGAUGAUGGAAUGAUGGAUACAGGUACUCCUGCCUUAAUCCCAGCUGUUCUGUAGGUGACAUCUUUCCAUCUUGUCUUUUAAAAUCUCACACCCUAACCUGAUACAGAACCCACAUUCCCCAUACUGUUGCAACUUUGAGUUUUCCUGGUAGGGAAAGUCCCCAACUAUAGUGUUCUCUCCAGGAAAAGUGAGCUAAGGUCGAGUUUUGGCUUUAAUUUGGAAUCUAUGUUAUAUUGAUUAUUUAAACCAUUUUCAUAAACUACCACUUACAUGUUAUCUUGACUCAUUC